CCUACGGGAGGCAGCAGUGGGGAAUAUUGCACAAUGGGGGGAACCCUGAUGCAGCGACGCCGCGUGAGUGAAGAAGUAUUUCGGUAUGUAAAGCUCUAUCAGCAGGGAAGAAAAUGACGGUACCGGACUAAGAAGCCCCGGCUAACUACGUGCCAGCAGCCGCGGUAAUACGUAGGGGGCAAGCGUUAUCCGGAUUUACUGGGUGUAAAGGGAGCGCAGACGGCUGUGCAAGUCUGGAGUGAAAGGCGGGGGCCCAACCCCCGGACUGCUCUGGAAACUGUAAAGCUGGAGUGCAGGAGAGGUAAGCGGAAUUCCUAGUGUAGCGGUGAAAUGCGUAGAUAUUAGGAGGAACACCAGUGGCGAAGGCGGCUUACUGGACUGCAACUGACGUUGAGGCUCGAAAGCGUGGGGAGCAAACAGGAUUAGAUACCCCAGUAGUC
rnacentral:rRNA from 1 species